UACCAGCACCCCGAGUGGUCGGGACGAUUAUUGGGCCUAAAGCAUCCGUAGCCGGUUCUACAAGUCUUCCGUUAAAUCCACCUGCUCAACAGAUGGGCUGCGGAGGAUACUAUAGAGCUAGGAGGCGGGAGAGGCAAGCGGUACUUAGUGGGUAGGGGUAAAAUCCGUUGAUCCAUUGAAGACCACCAGUGGCGAAGGCGGCUUGCCAGAA
rnacentral:rRNA from 1 species